AAGGAGCAGGCUGCUUGGAGUUACCAGAAGCUAAGCAGCUACCAGGAGAGCCUGGAGCAGGGCUCUUCUCUGUCUGUCUGCUUGCUUGAUUAUUUGCUUUGUUGCAUAAGCUUGCAGGCCCUGCAAAGCCUCUGAAAUAUAAGAGGCAAUCAGGAGAUGAAGCCUGGAAGAACCACGGGAAGAUAGCCAGGACUAGUAUGGCCAGCAUGGCCUCCAGAGGGUUUGCUCAGUCCCUGGAAAGUAUAUCCUAGAAGGACUGACGGGAAGCCAACAGAGAUCCAUAGGGUGUAUCAUAGUACCAGGGAAGAUCCUGAUCCUACUUCACCCAUUGGAACACACUUCUCAUUGUUGAAGCUGUGCCUCCAGUGCUUGCUGCAAUGGAACUGGUACAACCCAGCAGUGAUAACCACCAGGAAGAACUGCUGCUAUAUAAACCUGCCCCUCAGACUACAUUGAGAUUAGUCUGGGAUUCGCCAUGGAAAAAUCCUGUCCCUUCUUUAAAAACUGGCAAGAACAGUGUUAUAAGUUAUAAUUAGGGCUGGCCUUGAAACAAGUGCUUUUCCCAUACCCCGAGGAAGAUGCCCUAGCUUUGCAGCAAGACCCAAAUUCUGUGAAGGAUCAAAUCAUAUUUAGAGAGCACUCCAGUUUUUAGAAGCAACAUUUCUCAACUAAUAGCUAACACGGUGCCUUCGGAUUCUUUCAAGGGUGGCAUGUGUCAGGGCUACUGGUUAGUCAGACCCAGCCAGGCCAAGCUCUUGAGCUUCCACACCUGACCUUGAUCCUGGACUAAUGCUACUGCUACAGUGCUCUGUAACUGGAUUGGCUGCUGAGAGUGCCACUCAGCCCUUUAAGCACAGCUGCGGCCUCAAGCUACAGCAGGGGUGGGCAAAAUGCGGCCUGCCAGGCCAGUCUGUCCAGCUCUUGGGGCCCCUAAAUAUUUAGAAAAUUAAUAUUGAUCUCCCCCUGGCUGCCUGUCAUGUGCCCCUCAAUGGCUUGCUGAAACUUAGUAAGUAGCCCUCUGCCUGAAAUAAUUGUCCACCCCUGAGCUACAGGCAUGCCUUGACAAUAGCCUUAGUAUACUUUGGCAGAUUCUCCUGGCUCUGGACUCAGCUUUGGUUUUUCCUGACCCUGCUCUUGGAUCUUCUCUGGAACUCAGCAUUUACCAAUGAUUUGGAAGAUAUUGCUGCCUUUAUCUGAGAGAAUCUGAACCUGCCUCUUUGACCAGUCAGAGGAGGGUCCUAAUUACCAAGGUCUGAAGUGCUGUGGGGUGGCAAUGGGAGUGCUCUCAGUCUUUUCUGUUGACCUUGUUCCAUUUUGUAUGAAUAAUAAGCCAUUCAUUGGAACAGAACCCAAGUAUCCCUGUAUUUGCCCUUACCAAUGGGGGGUGGGGGGGUGGGGGGGUAUUCCCUCCCCUCCCCUCCCCUCCCCUCUGGUUUAGUGACUAUACAAAUAUAUAUAUUAAUCGCAUUCAGGAUCUGAAUGCAAAUCACAUCCUGAGUGACCUAAUCAUUGCCUAAAAGGGGACUCUGCCUUUCUCUGGCAGUCUUGUGAAUCUGGCCUGUCAUUUCAUUUUGCUUUUCCAACAAGUGUCUAAAAUCAAAGUUUUGUUUGGGGUCAAAUAGAACAUUUAAUGCUGAAUAAAACAAAAUCUUUUGGUUUUUUGUUUUUUUUUCUUUUCAAUGAGAGAAACUGAAACAUUUUUAAAUUGGGUCUACUUGAAUUCUCUUUUAGUUUUUCGACUUUUGGUUUCUCUGCUGAAUUUCGGCGGGGAGUUGUUUCAUACAGCUCUAGCCAUUGUGCCACAACUAGAAUGGUCAGUCCCAGAUUAGUAAUGUGGUUUCUCAAGCUGAUCAAAACUUGAAAUUUCUAUUCAACAGAAAUGCCAACAUUCUUAAAUGCUUUCUGAAACCAGAGGUUUUUUUUAAAAGGAUGUUUAGGGGCACUGUUUUGAUUCAAACUUUAUUUUAUGUAUUUAAUUAUGUUCUAUAUUUAUUUUUAUAUUUGUAUUUUUACUAUUUUUUUUAAAAAAGUUAUUUAAAUUUAAUAAUGUCAAAGGAAAACUAAUUGAAACUUUGUUUCCUUUUUUAUCCCUUACUGACAUGCUUCAUUUUCAUUAUUAUUCAAUCUUUUGUUAAAAUAGGUACAUCUCAAAGGGAUAUUUGAUUCUAGUGAAUCUGUGUUAUUGAGAGAGAAACAUUACAGUAUUAGCCAACUGCCCAUCAAGAAUGACAGAAGGGGGGCGGGGAUGGAGUGCUGCCACUCACUACCCACCACCCCACACCAUUGCUGCCUCCCAGGAGUGGAGGGAGGGGGAAGCUGGCCCUUCCAUGCCCUCCAUCCCCCUCUGACAGCAGUCUGUGCCACUGCCAUCUUCAGCACCGCUGGCCUUGCCCUCCCCCCCCAGCGCCACUCCUUGGAGGUGGUGUGGUACUGGCCUUGGCCCCCCAACUCUGUCCCCUUCAUCCCCACUGUCAUGGGAGCGCUCUGCUGCCUCCGAGGAGCAGGGCCGGGUGGGGGGGGGGGUAAGGCCAGCAGGGUUGGCUUUGCCCCCACUCCAUCCCCAAUGUUAUGGCAGCACUCUGCAUUCUGAUCGGUUGUUGCACUAAGCAAUCGGAGUGCUCCAAGAGCAUUAUGGAAAGACAGAUGGACCAAGCCCUUUAUUAUAUAAGAAUACAUAUAUAAAGCCAUCUUUGUCUAAACCUAGGUUUUAGGGCUAAGGCACAUUAAUUGGCCAAGGUGGAGAAAUUGAUAUCGAAUUAUUUAUCUAGUUACUUUCGAGAUGUUUAUAUGAUAGCUCUGUAUGUAUUUAUCACCAGGGAUACUGGUUUUCUCUCAUAAAAAAAAAAAAAAAAAUCACCAAUU